UACGUAGGGUGCAAGCGUUAUCCGGAAUUAUUGGACGUAAAGAGCUCGUAGGCGGUUUGUCGCGUCUGCUGUGAAAACUGGAGGCUCAACCUCCAGCUUGCAGUGGGUACGGGCAAACUAGAGUGCGGUAGGGGAGAUUGGAAUUCCUGGUGUAGCGGUGGAAUGCGCAGAUAUCAGGAGGAACACCGAUGGCGAAGGCAGAUCUCUGGGCCGUUACUGACGCUGAGGAGCGAAAGCGUGGGGAGCGAACAGG
rnacentral:rRNA from 1 species